UUUUUUUUGUUAAAAUUUCCCAUUUUUGUAUCCGGAAAUCCCAUUUUGGGGUUAAAAAGUGCCAUUUCAGGGCUUAAAAGUCCCAUUUUUGGGUUAAAAAAGCCCCAUUUUUGGGGCUGAAAGUCCCAUUUUUUAGUCUCCAAAUCCCAUUUUUGGGGUCAAAAAAUCCCAUUUUGGGCUCAAAAAGUGCCAUUUUUUUUCCUACAAACCCCAUUUUUGGGUCCCGGAAUCCCAUUUUGGUUCUAAAAGGGCCAUUUUUGGGGCCACAAAUCCUCUUUUUGGGUCCAGAAGUCCCCUUUUUGGGUCCUGGAUUCCCAUUUUGGGGUCCAAAAGGGCCAUUUUUGGGUCCAAAAGUGCCAUUUUUGGGUCCAAAAGUGCCAUUUUUGGGGCCAGAAAUCCCAUUUUUGGGGCCAGAAAUCCCCUUUUUGGGUCCAGAAGUCUUAUUUUUGGGUCCAAAAGGGCCAUUUUUGGGUCUAAAAGUUCCAUUUUGGGGUCCAAAAGGGCCAUUUUUGGGCCCCAUAGUCCCUUUUUUGGCUCUCGGAGUCCCAUUUUUGGGGCCAGAAAUCCCCUUUUUUGGCUCCCGGAAUCCCCUUUUUGGGUCCCAAAGUUCCCUUUUUGGGUCCCAAAGUCCCCUUUUUGGGGUCAGAAGUCCCAUUUUUGGGUCUAAAAGUCCCAUUUUGGGGUCCAAAAGGGCCAUUUUGGGGUCCAAAAGUCCCCUUUUUGGGGCCAGAAAUCCCAUUUUUGGGACCAGAAGUCCCAUUUUUGGGGCCAGAAAUCCCUUUUUUGGGUCCGGAAGUCCCAUUUUUGGGUGUAAAAGUCCCAUUUUUGGGUCCCGAAGUCCCAUUUUGGGGCCAUGUUUUAC
ensembl:lncRNA